rnacentral:rRNA from 1 species
AGAGUUUGAUCGUGGCUCAGGAUGAACGCUAGCGGCGCGCUUAAUGCAUGCAAGUCGAGCGAUGAGGCCCUUUCGGGGGCACAUCAGCGGCAGACGGGUGAGUAACACGUGGAUGACCUGCCCCGAAGACGAGGAUAACGGAUGGAAACAUCUGCUAAUACUCGAUGGUCUUGUACCGUCGAAGGUACAAGUAAAGCUCCGGUGCUUCGGGAGGGGUCUGCGGCCUAUCAGCUAGUUGGUAGGGUAACGGCCUACCAAGGCGAAGACGGGUAGGGGGUGUGAGAGCACGGCCCCCCACAAUGGGACUGAGACACGGCCCAUACUCCUACGGGAGGCAGCAGCAGGGAAUAUUGCACAAUGGACGGAAGUCUGAUGCAGCGACGCCGCGUGGAUGAUGAAGGCCUUCGGGUUGUAAAAUCCUUUUCAGGGGGACGAGCAAGGACGGUACCUUUGGAAUAAGCGUCGGCUAACUACGUGCCAGCAGCCGCGGUAAGACGUAGGACGCAAGCGUUAUCCGGAUUUACUGGGCGUAAAGCGUCUGUAGGCGGAGUGGAAAGUUGGGCGUGAAAGCUCCGGGCUUAACCCGGAGAGGACGUUCAAUACUACCAAACUAGAGGGCAUCAGAGGAGCGUGGAAUUUCCGGUGUAGCGGUAAAAUGCGCAGAUAUCGGAAGGAACACCAGUGGCGAAGGCGGCGCUCUGGGAUGCACCUGACGCUAAGAGACGAAAGCUAGGGGAGCGAACAGGAUUAGAGACCCUGGUAGUCCUAGCCGUAAACGAUGGAUGCUAGGUGUAUGGUCGAAAGACCGUGUGCCGGAGCUAACGCGAUAAGCAUCCCGCCUGGGGAGUACGACCGCAAGGUUAAAACUCAAACGAAUUGACGGGGCCCCGCACAAGCAGCGGAGCGUGUGGUUUAAUUCGAUGCUACACGAAGAACCUUACCUGGGUUUGACAUGUAGGUGGUAGCGAAGCGAAAGCAGAGCGACCCUUCGGGGAGCCUACACAGGUGCUGCAUGGCUG